GACGAACGCUGGCGGCGUGCUUAACACAUGCAAGUCGAGCGGUAAGGCCCUUUCGGGGGUACACGAGCGGCGAACGGGUGAGUAACACGUGGGUGACCUGCCCUUAGCUCUGGGAUAAGCCUGGGAAACUGGGUCUAAUACCGGAUAUGACUCCAUAACGCAUGUUGUGGGGUGGAAAGCCUUGUGCGGCUAGGGAUGGGCCCGCGGCCUAUCAGCUUGUUGGUGGGGUGAUGGCCUACCAAGGCGACGACGGGUAGCCGGCCUGAGAGGGCGACCGGCCACACUGGGACUGAGACACGGCCCAGACUCCUACGGGAGGCAGCAGGUGGGGAAUCUUGCGCAAUGGGCGAAAGCCUGACGCAGCGACGCCGCGUGGGGAUGAC
rnacentral:rRNA from 1 species